GUUAGUGUUGAUCAUUUGUUUGGUACCUAUUCCUUCAAGAGGGGUGCCAGUGUCCUGAUGCUGACCAGUGCCACCGGUUCCGCCACUUGCUUCCUGCUGGAGCCUAAGCACCAACUGGAUGAGGGGACUCCUCUCUGUGUUGAAUCCCCGGCUCUCUAAGGCUUUGAAGUGGAGAGUGGUGUCGAACUACAAGACAGCCAGCAUGUAAACAAGGCCUUGUUUGUCCUUGUUUGGCUACUCAUCACUCUUCUACUUCCUGAAGAGGCUGAAGCAUGCUGGCCUUGACACCUCAGUCCUUGCUUCCAUUAACAGCUGUGUUAUGGAGCACAUCGUCAUCAUUGUCUACUACUGCAACGGGUGGAUAAGGAGGGCAAAUGGCAGACACUUGACAUUUACUGCCAAAGGUAACAUCAGAGCACCUCUCCCUACCCUGCAGGACAUCUGUACCAGAGGAGUACAACACCGGCCCAAAAUAUUUCAAAAGACAUUUCACACCCUGACCAUGGACUGUUUAAACCACUAAGGCAGAUGCCUUAGCAUCAAGCAGAUGUCUCUUGUUCCCACAUGGCUAAAAUAGACUGAGGAGUUUCUUCCCUCAAACCAUCCGUAUCCUGAACAAACAUAACUCCUUAAACUACAUUACAUAGACUUGUCAUACUGCACUUACACACACUGCACUUUUUACCCCCUGGGUCAUUCUAUGUCAAAUCAGAAAAUAUUGUUGCUGCACUGUCUCAGGUUUUGUUCAAACCAUUUCUAUAUCAAGGAUGGUCCUAGUCCGAGAACUGGAGUCACACUAGUUUAAUGAUGACAUUAGUUUAGGGUCCUUCAACAUCUACUUUUUAUAUAUAAUUAUUGAGUGGCACUCUUAAUUUUGUAUUGGCCCUUGAUUGCAAAUUGUUCUGUAUGUGGCCUGCAAGCAGAACAAUUUGGCCAACCCUGCCCUACAGUAUCACCCAGAUUAGGCGGAACGCACUUUUCUUUUGUCUCUCUGAACAGUAAAGUUGGAUAGCAAAAUGCACAUAAAAUUUUACAAUAGUUUUUUUCUUGUAUGAAAAGAAUAAUUCUUGUUGUGAAGAAUAAAAAUCAUUGUAAUGAAAUAUUUGAAUGAUCAGUAAUCAGAUAAUUAAGUAAUUACACUGUUGUUUUCCCCUCCAAAUCCCACUGUGCCUUGCACUUUUUG